GAAGAUACGAGAACACAACUUUUAACAAUACUAAAAAGUAUUAUGAAUUAAUUCAAAAAUGAAAGUGAAGUUGAAAGUGAAAGAAAAUCAAUUUUUAAAGAAAUAAAAAUAUGUAAUUCAUAGUUUGAUGAGCACCCGAAACAUAACUGUCCAGUAUUAAGAAGAUAUCCUGGACAAUGAAUAAAAUAAAAAAACAAAAACAAAAAGAAGGAAAGAGGAUAUUUCGCAUAAAGAAGAGAUUGUAAAAUAGGAUUGCUUGAAGUGACCGGACAGCAUAUGUUGACAAUUAAAUGGAUAAAUUCUUGAGAUCUGCUGACAAGGACGGGCCCCACUCUGAUAGCACUCGCUUCCGUACCUUCGUCCAAAUCCAGCCCCUCUGCUCUGCAACUCAACCAACAAUGCCAAUUCAUUCACAGUGUUUAAUGGGGAUUCAUACUCACACUAUACAUUUCCUAUUUCAGAAACUCAAGAAGGAAAUACGUAUAAAAAAGUAAACCAAAAAAAAGUAAAAUCAUCAAAAUCGAAAUAUGUGAAGAAUCAAUCAAUAGAUACGAAGGAGAUAAGAAGGUAGCGAAAGUGUCGCUUUAGAAGAGUUGGGAUUGGAAAUGCUCUGCGAUCUUAAUCCAUUCAUAUUUACAAACAAGUUAUGGGCAAUCUCCGAUUUUAUCCAUUUCAGCAGAAAUUGUUGACCAAUAUGGUUAAAUGAUAUUAGCGUACCAACAAAAAUGCAUUAACUCAUGCUCAUGCAACUCCACAGAAUGUCGGCAAGAGUCAAAAUAGGUCGCCAAGAAAGACUUUGUUGAUAAGAUCUUGCGACUUUGUCGGAAUACUAACUAGAGAAUUCUGA
rnacentral:lncRNA from 1 species